AUGCGUUUCAUCUUCUGGAACAUCCGAGGCUUCGGCCAUGCUGGGAGGCGGACCCAGUUGAAAGAAUUCAUACGUGAAGAGGGGAUCGACGUAGUUGGCUUGCAGGAAACCAUCAAGGCUGAUUUUUCUCAUCGGGACCUGCUAGCUGUCGACCCGCUCGAACGUUUUGCGUGGCAUUGGGUGCCGGCGGUGGGACACUCGGGGGGCCUGCUGCUUGGCAUUAACCAAGUUUGCUGCGAGGUGGUGUCUUGGGAUGCCGGUAGAUUCUUCUUGUCGGCACACGUGCGCCACCACGCGACCCUUCGUGCGUGGGAGGUUAUUGUGGUUUAUGGCCCGGCCGACCACUCACACUCGCAUGAGUUUUUGGGUGAACUACAGGAGAAGGUUGCGACCUUGGGUGUGCGUAACUUGGCACUACUAGUGGGUGGCGAUUUCAACUAA
rnacentral:rRNA from 1 species